CCACAUUAUUAUUAUUAUUGCAAUUACAGGUUGAGUGCAUGCAACACGCGCAGGCAAAAACUCUAGUCUUUCUUAAAUGUGAAGUUGCCAUUUUAUUUUCUUCUCUUCUUCUGAUUUAACUUGUCUUUCAUAUUUCUUUGCGUAGAGUCGGUAAACUAUGACGGUGGCCUGUUGCUUUAAAUAUGUCCGCCCUAAAGGAUUAUGGGUUACAAAUAUCUCCUUUCCUUUCGUAAAGGUUGGUCAGCAUUAAACUAUGCUAAAGGUGGGCUAAAGGUUGCAUCAAGGCACCUUUCCCAAGCAUUAUUAGAAUUCAAAUUCCUCUGGGCCCUCAAAAGCAGUGUGGCAGAGUUCAACCCUGAGUAUGAGGAUGACUCUGAGCAGGUCAGACUGAUGACUCCAGUGCUACUUUUCUCUUGUGCAAUGCAGAGCUGGACUUGUAAAUGUAUUAAAAUAACCUGCUGGUUUCUGACAGGAUUCUCAUGAGCUCCUUCUGUUUGUCUUUAUCAAGGUGAAGAUGGAAGGUGAGACACUACAUGGCAUUUCCAAUUGACUGUUCUAUAUAUGCCAUGUCCAGAGCUUUGAGUUCAGACCGCAGUGUGUCCGCACCUGCUCCAGGCGCUGUGAUGAAGAGCUUUUCCAGGAUGAAGAGCAAAACAUCUUGUUCUUUGACCUGCAUCAUUUGUUGAUAGUUGGACUCAAACUCUACUUUAAACCUCCUCAGAUGGAUUGCACCAGCAGGCAGUGCUCUGGUCGCCAGGCAACCAAGAUGGGGAAGGAUUCCAGCAUCCAGACCAUCUACCAGCUGUCAGGCAUCGUCUCAUACCUCGGGGAGAGCAUUGAGACUGGACUCCCGUGUGACGAGGACAGCGGAGACAGCAGUCCUGAGGGCAAGAGAGGAGACGGCCGACAUUUUGAUUAUUUCCUCUGGUUAUACCUUAACAUUUAAUGGAUAGAUUGGAAGAUUUACGAAGGAUGAAUGAUCAACUCCCAUUUGUUGGACUGCUGCUGCUCUGCUGCCAUUCCCAUAAAACAGAUUGGCAGAUCAACGUGGGUAUGCCUCGCUGGACACGUUUGGACCGUUCCAUCCACUGACCCUGGGUCGUCGCACCUCACUGCUCCCAUGCUGUGUUCUGUUCUCUCCCACUCCAUCUAUCUAACUCCAUCCCAGCUCCCUCCCUCACUCUCUCUAUCCCUCCAUACAUCUCUCCACCUCCUUUCAUCUCUUCAUCCUUCC
ensembl:lncRNA